rnacentral:rRNA from 1 species
GACGAACGCUGGCGGCGUGCUUAACACAUGCCAGUCGAACGGAAAGGCCCUGCUUUUGUGGGGUGCUCGAGUGACGAACGGGUGAGUAACACGUGAGUAACCUCCCCUUGACGUUGGGAUAACUUCAGGAAACUUGGGUUAAUACCGGAUAGGCGCUCCUGCUCAAUGGUGGUGGUUGGCCAGUUUCGGCGGGUGGGGAUGGACUCGCGGCUUAUCAGCUUGUUGGUUGGGUAGUUGCUUACCAAGGCUUUGACGGGUAGCCGGCCUGAGAGGGUGACCGGCCACAUUGGGAAUGAGAUACGGCCCGGACUCCUACGGGAGGCAGCAGUGGGGAAUAUUGCACAAUGGGCGGAAGCCUGAUGCAGCAACGCCGCGUGCGGGAUGACGGCCUUCGGGUGGUAAACCGCUUUCGCCUGUGACGAAGCGUGAGUGACGGUAAUGGGUAAAGAAGCACCGGCUAACUACGUG